rnacentral:rRNA from 1 species
UCGGAUUGUAGUCUGCAACCCGACUACAUGAAGCUGGAAUCGCUAGUAAUCGCGGAUCAGAAUGCCGCGGUGAAUACGUUCCCGGGUCUUGUACACACCGCCCGUCACACCAUGGGAGUCGGAAAUGCCCGAAGUCUGUGACCUAACCGUAAGGGAGGAGCAGCCGAAGGCAGGUCGGAUGACUGGGGUGAAGUCGUAACAAGGUAAC